CCUACGGGGGGCAGCAGUGAGGAAUAUUGGUCAAUGGCCGGAAGGCUGAACCAGCCAAGCCGCGUGAAGGACGAAGGUGCCAAGCAUUGUAAACUUCUUUUGUCAAGGGACAAAAUCAGGCUCGAGAGCCUGACCGAGGGUAUUUGAAGAAAAAGCAUCGGCUAACUCCGUGCCAGCAGCCGCGGUAAUUCGGAGGAUGCGAGCGUUAACCGGAUUUAUUGGGUUUAGGGGGUCCGUAGGCGGACUGUUAAGUUAGCGGUAAAAGCCCGGGGCGAAACCCCGGCGAGCCGUUGAAACUGGCUGUCUUGAGAAGUCGAGAGGUAUGCGGAAUGCGCAGUGUAGCGGUGAAAUGCUUAGAUAUUGCGCAGAACUCCGAUUGCGAAGGCAGCAUACCGGAGGCGAUCUGACGCUGAGGCACGAAAGCGUGGGUAUCGAACAGGAUUAGAUACCCGGGUAGUC
rnacentral:rRNA from 1 species